rnacentral:tRNA from 1 species
UCCCAGGUGGCUCAGAUGGUAAAGGGUCUGCCUGCAAUGCAGAAGACCCAGGUUCGAUCCCUGGAUUGGGAA